CCGUUUGAUCUCAGACGAAUAUCAUAUCGCACAUCACACCGGAUAUCACAGCCCUAAACUAUCGACGUCUUCGAACAUCGCUCCGGCUACAAAUCACAAGUGACUAAAGAAUUACUGAGAGAGAUACAGUUAUUCAGCAUUACUUGUACGAGACUAAAGAAUAGUUUGACAAGAUGAAGACCACUCUUACGUGCCUUGUUCUGAUUGCUCUGGUUGCUAUGGCCUUUGCAGUAAAUACGACUACGGUUGACCCGGUGACAACUCCAAACUCCACGAUGGCACCUGGAGGGAAUGGUACAAAUAUGGCUGUUACUCCUACUUCAUCUGCGGCCUUGACUGUAUCUAGCGUUUUCUACUUAACAUUGAGUGUGUUGGCUGCAAGGUUCAUGUAAAGCGUUUCCUUCCUUCAUCUCCUACUCGUCCUCCUCUGGAGUGAUGCUAUCCCAUCCUCAUACUCGCUGGAAGCUUCUUCAAGCAGUGACCAUGGUAACCACAUCUACGUCCUCCCGAAUGAAAUACAACCUGUGAAGUUCUUGACUUUGGCGCAUUGACAAAACUCCACCAUGCUCGCCUGAGCAAUAAUGAGACUUGUAAGAUUGGUAAUCAAUAAGAAAUUAUUUUCCGUUAACUCUUCAGUUUGCAUCUAAAAAUAUUUGGAAAAGUUUGAACCAAAUUGGAAAUUUCGUUAAAUGAAAAUGUUAGCCUAUAUAACGGUGUGAAAAUAAGAAGCCGUUUUCACUAAUAAACUUCAGGUUCAUAACUCGAGCAUAAAAAUAAUUUAAUGUACCGUAAUAAAAAUGAAUGUCCUGUUUAUGUACUAUAUACGCACGUUGUUGCAUUUUACAAAUGUUAUGACAGCAGCGCUGUUUUCCUCCAACCAUUACUGAUAAUAUAUUAUGGAUAAUAUGUCUGAUGGCUUGCAUCUAUAAUUCGAGUAGUCUAUCUCUCUUUCUCUUGUCUUUCACAAUAUAUUUAUAUCAUUACAUAAUAUACAGCUGACUUAACAUGAAUAUGGAAAUAAUAUACAUAUUUGAUACCGCAUUCGACAAGACAUCGUUUUUGGUUUUUAUGAAGCACUCUAUGUUUUGAUAUAAGUACAUGGAAUAUCAUUAUUCAAAAACUCCAACCAACUGGAGAUUUUUUCAUUUUUCUUAUUUUGUAUCCUUUGGGUCUUUAAAGAUGUAAAGUAUUAUUUGACUAAAAAUUGAGAGAGGUGAAUCUAAUGUAAUGAUAUGUAUAUUUUGCAAGCUAUUGUGUACUAUACAUUCAGCAAAACCAUCCACCUCUUCAUUUGAACUAAUAGAACUAAUCCAAUCAGAAUGUUCAGACAGAAUAAAAAGUUUGCUGUAAAGUAUAGACCCAAAACAAUUACAAUGCUACAGUGUGUUUUGGGUGGGUGUGUAUAGACUAGAAAAGAUUUUAUGUGUUUUGAGUCGGUAAACGUAUGAAGUUUGAAGGUGAAGCCUGCAAAGGCUGAUUCAAACUAAAAUGCAUUUUCAUAUUGUUUUCUCAUAGAAUCCAAAGCCGAUCUAUAUGUCAUUUAGUUUAAUUCGAAUAGUAGUACACUUCUAAUUAUCAGAGGGCAACAGUACCUUGCACACUAUAGCACGUGGUUACUGUAAAUGAUUGAAUUCCCAGUUUCUCGUCCCGUUUGCAGCUCUUUGAAACCGUUUUCAUUUAUAUAGUAUUUAUUUCAUCACUGGAUAAAAAACAAAUAUAUCAAAUGGGGAAAACACAAGUAAAAAGAGAAAUGUAAUCAUUGUUAGCAAGAGGUUAGUGACAUGAGAGGAUUACAAAUACAAGGGUCGUUCUUUAACCCAAAACGAGAAACUGGGAAUUUCAUAAUAUCACACCAUUAUCGGGACCAUGAUUAUUGAUGUUUAUAUCUAUCUAUGUGUCUUAAGUUAAACCAGGUUGAUAUUGAUUAUCUAUUACAUCCUUUCAAAUCCUUUCAAAAGGAAGUGUCCAACAUGUGAUGUUUUAUUUUUAAUAAAGUCUUAAACGUUUUGUA
rnacentral:lncRNA from 1 species